rnacentral:rRNA from 1 species
GAUGAACGCUGGCGGCGUGCCUAAUACAUGCAAGUCGAGCGAACAGACGAGGAGCUUGCUCCUCUGACGUUAGCGGCGGACGGGUGAGUAACACGUGGAUAACCUACCUAUAAGACUGGGAUAACUUCGGGAAACCGGAGCUAAUACCGGAUAAUAUAUUGAACCGCAUGGUUCAAUAGUGAAAGACGGUUUUGCUGUCACUUAUAGAUGGAUCCGCGCCGCAUUAGCUAGUUGGUAAGGUAACGGCUUACCAAGGCAACGAUGCGUAGCCGACCUGAGAGGGUGAUCGGCCCCACUGGAACUGAGACACGGUCCAGACUCCUACGGGAGGCAGCAGUAGGGAAUUUUCCGCAAUGGGCGAAAGCCUGACGGGGCAACGCCGCGUGAGUGAUGAAGGUCUUCGGAUCGUAAAACUCUGUUAUUAGGGAAGAACAAAUGUGUAAGUAACUAUGCACGUCUUGACGGUACCUAAUCAGAAAGCCACGGCUAACUACGU